AGUGAACGCUGGCGGUAGGCCUAACACAUGCAAGUCGAACGGCAGCACAGUAAGAGCUUGCUCUUACGGGUGGCGAGUGGCGGACGGGUGAGGAAUACAUCGGAAUCUACUUUUUCGUGGGUGAUAACGUAGGGAAACUUACGCUAAUACCGCAUACGACCUACGGGUUAAAGCAGUGGUUCUUCGCACCUUGCGCGAUUGAAUUAGCCGAUGUCGGAUUAGCUAGUUGGCGGGGUAAAGGCCCACCAAGGCGACGAUCCGUAGCUGAUCUGAGAGGAUGAUCGGCCACACUGGAACUGAGACACGGUCCAGACUCCUACGGGAGGCAGCAGUAGGGAAUAUUGGGCAAUGGGCGAAAGCCUGAUGCAGCAAUGCCGCGUGAGUGAAGAAGGCCUUCGGGUUGUAAAGCCCUUUUGUUGGGAAAGAAAAGCAGCAGGUUAAAACACCGCUGUUCUGACGGUACCCAAAGAAUAAGCACCGGCUAACUUCGUG
rnacentral:rRNA from 1 species